GGCCUUUCCUGGCCCAGCGAGGCCCGCUCCCCAGCACCCCACCCCGGGAUGCCCUGUUGCCUUGGAGACCACAGUCUUCCACCUCGUUGUCUGAAGGAAUGGUUGCCUCUGAGGCUGUCACAGGGAAUUCUAAAUCUACAGCUCUCCGAUUAAAAGGAAAAUAAGAACACGGGAAAAAGAGAUGUUAAAGAUGUGUCAGCGCCUACCUGAGGGUUGACACACUAAGGCAGAGUCUGUAGAUUCAUUUUAGGAACAGAUUGUUCUGUGAUUGUGUGCAGAGACUGGCACAUGUUUUCCCUGUGUCUAUAAUAUACUAACAACUCAAUAAAAGUUGGCUGUUAUCUUCUUGUUUA